rnacentral:rRNA from 1 species
GUUAUAUGGUCAAGUGAAGAAGCGCAUACGGUGGAUGCCUUGGCAGUCAGAGGCGAUGAAAGACGUGGUAGCCUGCGAAAAGCUUCGGGGAGUCGGCAAACAGACUUUGAUCCGGAGAUGUCUGAAUGGGGGAACCCAGCCAUCAUAAGAUGGUUAUCUUGUACUGAAUACAUAGGUGCAAGAGGCGAACCAGGGGAACUGAAACAUCUAAGUACCCUGAGGAAAAGAAAUCAACCGAGAUUCCCUU